UACGGGGGAGCAAGCGUUGUUCGGAUUUACUGGGCGUAAAGGGCGCGUAGGCGGCCACCGCAAGUCGACUGUGAAAUCUCCGGCUUAACCCGGAAAGGUCAGCCGAUACUGCGGGCUAGAGUGCAGAAGGGGCAAUGGGAAUUCUCGGUGUAGCGGUGAAAUGCGUAGAUAUCGAGAGGAACACCUGCGGCGAAGGCGGGUUGCUGGGCUGACACUGACGCUGAGGCGCGAAAGCUAGGGGAGCGAACGGG
rnacentral:rRNA from 1 species